UAUCACUAAGCGGCGGAAAAGAAACUAACCAGGAUUCCCCUAGUAACGGCGAGUGAACGGGGACUAGCCCAGCACCGAAGCCUGCGUCCGUUUGGGCGUAAGGCACUGUGGUGUUUAGGUGGUCGCAUGUUGAUUCCUCUGCUGCCCCAAGUCCAGUAAUGAAUAUGGCUAUACUAACGGCCCAGAGAGGGUGAAAGGCCCGUGGGGGCAGUGUGUUCUGUUGAGGCAUCGACUGCGUCCGCCCUGGAGUCGGGUUGUUUGUGAAUGCAGCCCAAAGUGGGUGGUAGACUCCAUCUAAGGCUAAAUACUGGCACGAGUCCGAUAGCGAACAAGUACCGUGAGGGAAAGUUGAAAAGAACUCUGAAGAGAGAGUAAACAGUGCGUGAAACCGCUUAGAGGUAAACGGGUGUAGUCAAGCUGCAAGCCCUUUGGGGAUUCAGCCGGUCAGUAUGACGUGAGCAAUGAGCACUACUGUUGGCUUGUGGAGUCCGCCUCGACUGGUGGGCCCGGUUCUCCCAUGGAUCGGGUGCCUGUGUGACACAUCGUCACUGGACGCUUUACAUUGACCCAGCUGCUGGCCGGUGCACUUCCUCAGGGUGUAAGCCACGACCGCCGUUGCUGUCGGUCUGCCGGGGCCAACCUAUCUGGACGGACUGUUAUGGUUCGGCCAGGUUGGGAUGGCAGGUGCCUCGAUGUAGAUUGGCCUUGUGUCCUUCUGCGUCAAGUGUUAUAGCCGGUCCCGGUGGCUCUUAAAACUGUGCAGUGCGGUGGAGAUUGCGACGUGUUGGCAAUGGCAGGCGUGCUAAUGUCCGCCGGCGUGCUACAAGUCUGGCUGCCUGUUGUCGAUUUCACUUUUGACCUGGUGGUGGCUUGUUCACGGUGUUGUGGACGGCGGCGUUUGCUAGCCAAUCUAGCGACUGGUCGGUUUAAUCAUCGGCUGUUUGUUAGGCUAUCGUCGUCCACAGUCUGUGGCGUAGUGGUAGACGAUCCACCCGACCCGUCUUGAAACACGGACCAAGGAGUUUAACAUGUGCGCGAGUCAAUGGGUGUGGACUUCACGGUGCACGAAACCCAGAGGCGCAGUGAAAGUGAAGGUCGCGACUCACGUGUGGGUGUAACAGCCCGUAUGUGAUUCUGACUGAGGUGAGAUCCCGUUGGAUCCUAGGCUGACCUGGUCAUGCAUUAGACCGGCGGGCGCAUCACCGGCCCGUCCCAUGGUGUACCUCACCGGGGCGGAGCAAGAGCGUACAUGUUGAGACCCGAAAGAUGGUGAACUAUGCUUGCGCAGGUUGAAGCCGGAGGAAACUCUGGUGGAGGACCGUAGCGAUUCUGACGUGCAAAUCGAUCGUAUGACGUGAGUAUAGGGGCGAAAGACUAAUCGAACCAUCUAGUAGCUGGUUCCCU
rnacentral:rRNA from 1 species